GUUUAAGACUAGGGGUGCCUUCAUUUUGGGAAGGCUGAGAAAAGGAAACCUUAUUUCCUUUACCCUUGAACCUGAUCUGGUUUGUACCAGCGUAGGGAAGUCGGUAGUGUUUUCU
rnacentral:ncRNA from 2 species